CCUACGGGGAGCUGCAGUGAGGAAUAUUGGUCAAUGGCCGGAAGGCUGAACCAGCCAAGUCGCGUGAGGGACGACUGCCCUAUGGGUUGUAAACCUCUUUUAUAAGGGAAGAAGAAAUGCUACGUGUAGCAUGAUGCCUGUACCUUAUGAAUAAGCAUCGGCUAACUCCGUGCCAGCAGCCGCGGUAAUACGGAGGAUGCGAGCGUUAUCCGGAUUUAUUGGGUUUAAAGGGUGCGUAGGCGGUUUUUUAAGGUCGUGGUUAAACGUCGGGGCUUCACCUUGAUUUGCCAUUCAGACUGUCAGCCUCGAGUUCAGGCGAGGUAUGCGGCAUCUGUUCCGUAGCGGU
rnacentral:rRNA from 1 species